AUGGAUAAUUAUGUGUUUUGCUCAAUUGUUGGAUUGGGAUAUUGUGUUGUUGAAUUAUGGUUGAAUUCAUGUCUAAAUGAAGUGUUGUUGAAGUAGAUAUGUUGUUGUCCUUGAAUGAUAUCAUGAGUAUUCCAUUUUAUGAAAUAAGUUGUUUGUAUUGGUGAAGUUCUGCUAGAUGUUCAAGUGAAGAACCCAAAGUGAAAUUUGAUAUACAAAGUUGUUGACUGAGUUGUCUAUGUGCUUGGAUGAGUUAAACUUGAUGGAAUUUCUGUUUUUAUGUUAUGGUUACGUUAGUCGAGUCGUUUUGGAAGAAAACGGGAGUUUCGUUUGAAAAUUCAAUUGUUAACCGUUUUGGAAAAUGAGUGUUUGUGUGAGGUUUGUAAAAUGAAUUUGAGGUUGUUGAAACUGGGAUUUUUCUGUGCAUUAUGAUAGUGCUAAGUGUUAGGAGCAU
rnacentral:lncRNA from 1 species